CCUACGGGGGGCAGCAGUGGGGGAUAUUGCACAAUGGGGGAAACCCUGAUGCAGCGACGCCGCGUGUGGGAAGACGGUCCUCUGGAUUGUAAACCACUGUCCCCAGGGACGAAGAUGACGGUACCUGGGGAGGAAGCUCCGGCUAACUACGUGCCAGCAGCCGCGGUAAUACGUAGGGAGCGAGCGUUGUCCGGAAUUACUGGGUGUAAAGGGAGCGUAGGCGGGCGAGAAAGUUGAAUGUUAAAUCUACCGGCUUAACUGUAGCUGCGUUCAAAACUUCUUGUCUUGAGUGAAGUAGAGGCAGG
rnacentral:rRNA from 1 species